rnacentral:rRNA from 1 species
CUAACACAUGCAAGUCGAGGGUAGCAGGGUAGCAAUACCGCUGACGACCGGCGCACGGUGACGUAACACGUAUCCAACCUUCCAUAACUCAGGGAUAGCCUUUCGAAAGAAAGAUUAAUACCUGAUAGUACUUUUUCAAAGGCAUCUUGAAAAAGUUAAAGAUUUAUUGGUUAUGGAUGGGAUGCGUUCCAUUAGAUAGUUGGUGAGGUAACGGCUCACCAAGUCUUCGAUGGAUAGGGGUUCUGAGAGGAAGGUCCCCCACAUUGGUACUGAGACACGGACCAAACUCCUACGGGAGGCAGCAGUGAGGAAUAUUGGUCAAUGGGCGAGAGCCUGAACCAGCCAAGUAGCGUGAAAAGGAUGAAGGUCCUAUGGAUUGUAAACUUCUUUUAUAGUAGAAUAAAGUGAGCCACGUGUGGUUUUUUGUAUGUAUACUAUGAAUAAGGAUCGGCUAACUCCGUGCCAGCCGCCGC